rnacentral:lncRNA from 1 species
AUCCAUACUUACUAGAGCUUCCACACCUACAACCCACAUUUUUCUCUCUUCGCCAAAUCAUCAUAUUGUUUGAUUUAGCAUCGAUUUAAAAGGCCCAUAUAUACUCCAGCUGCUAAGUAAUUGCUUUCUUGAUUUUGCUGGCCUUACUUUCGCAACAGGUCAGCCCCACACCAUCCACAGGUUCUUACAGAUUCUGUUUGUACUUAGAUAUCCUUUGACCAUCGAGAUAGUCAGCAUGAGAUGCUGAAUAAGCAAACACUAUCUAAACCAAUGGUUCUCAGCCUGUGCGUUGCAACCCCCUUCAGUUCCAAUGACCCUUUCUUCACAGAAGCUGCAUAUCAGAUGUUUACAUUAUGAUUCAUAACAGGAGCAAAACUACAGUUAUGGGUAGUAUGGUGUGUGUGUGGGGGGGAGGUCACCACAACAUGAGGAACUGUAUUAAAUGGUCACAGCAUUAGGGAGGUUAAGAACCACUGCUCUAGACUAUUAAAUUCUUGACCUCAGGCUUAGGUCUUAUGUUUGCUCAUCUGCCUUCUCCAUAAAAUAAAAACUUAAAGAUCUUGUUUGAUUUUAUUGAGUGUCAUCUUCCCAAGCCAAUCAGAGAAAACUAAUAGCUAUUCUUUUUCUUCCCUUCAGCAAGAGUGAAAGCAAGGAUUUGUACUAUGAGUAUUUACACAAAGUCAUCAAUUACUAAUAGAGACCAUUAUUCUACAUGAAUCAGGUAUGGGGACACUUUCUGAUGGGCUGAAUUGUAUUUUCAUGAUUUCUAUAGUUUGGAAGAUUCUUAUCUCUGUCAUUCCCCCUUGCUGAAGAGACUCUAGGUCAUAGGAUGAUUUUUGUGUUUUUUUCCCAGUUCUAGGAGCUAACAGGAAAGGGGCGACAAACACUAUAGCUGGGGCUUGGAGGCUAAAGAACAGAGCACUCCAGGCUAACAGAAACAAUACCAAAUCUUAUUGUGGAACAAAAAAUUCUGACAUCUGUUUUCUUCUUCAAUUCAACUUGAGUGAAUUUAUAAUCGUUUUCAAGAAGCUCCUAACCUUGUGGAAACAGAUUAGCACUGAGUGCAUUUGCGAGUUUGGUUUACGCGGUCUUAAAAGUAUGAGUCACAGUGCAAUGUGUGUGUUUACGAACAUCCUUUGGGCAUAGUGAACAACAAAACAGUGAAGACACUUCGGCUGUUUCUUAAAAUAAGGACAAGCCUCUCUCAUAAAGUCUGAGGAAUGGAAUCCUGUGGAACCAAAGAAGAAAAACUCACUUUAUACUCAACUGUUUCAAGCUUGAAGAGCCUUAAUCUCUAUUUGUCCCUCGGAGUCUGAGGACAGGAUAUAAAUGGGGUGCUGCUGGUGUAAGAUGAUGGAUGAGGGUACCCUCUGGUUGCCAGAGGAUCUGUGACCAGCACAAAAACUGCUUGGUCUGGGUUAAUUAAUUGCAGGAACAGUUUAUUCUGAUGCAGGGCAAGCACCUUGGCUAAAAUCUCAGCAUCUGUGUUGAUUAAAGAUCUGAGGCUGGAGAAAGCACAUAGUUGGGGGUCUUAGAUAGUGUGGGAACCAUCUGGGCUUCUUUUAAUGAGGGAGGGCUUCUGCAUUCCAAGUCUCAAAGCUGUGUUAUUCUAGUCAGCAUUAAUGGCUGCCUCUUGCCCAGCACCACAGCCCUUCAAUUAAGACACCGUCAUUUUCUCUGGAUAUGUGUGUCAGCACUCUAUUCGGGGUCGCACUCUUAUGUUUCAUGUCCUAGAGACCCAGUGAUAAGAGAACAAAGUGAAAAUCUCACUGGCCAUGUUUAAGUCCAAGUCCUGGGUGGAGAGUGAACAGGAGUUUGUUAGUUCGUUC